rnacentral:rRNA from 1 species
GAUGAACGCUGGCGGCGUGCUUAACACAUGCAAGUCGAACGAGAACGGACUUAAGCUUGCUUAAGUUGUCAGCUAAGUGGCGCACGGGUGAGUAAUGUAUAGUUAACCUGCCCUCGAGAAAGGAAUAACAGUUGGAAACGACUGCUAAUGCCCUAUAUGCCCAUAAUACAUAAGUAUGCUGGGGAAACGCUUUUGUGCUCGAGGAUGGGACUGUAUGGUAUCAGCUAGUUGGUGAGGUAAUGGCUCACCAAGGCAAUGACGCCUAACUGGUUUGAGAGGAUGAUCAGUCACACUGGAACUGAGACACGGUCCAGACUCCUACGGGAGGCAGCAGUGGGGAAUAUUGCACAAUGGAGGAAACUCUGAUGCAGCAACGCCGCGUGGAGGAUGACACUUUUCGG